rnacentral:rRNA from 1 species
AGUGAACGCUGGCGGUAGGCCUAACACAUGCGAGUCGAACGGCAGCACAGUAAGAGCUUGCUCUUACGGGUGGCGAGUGGCGGACGGGUGAGGAAUACAUCGGAAUCUACUUUUUCGUGGGGGAUAACGUAGGGAAACUUACGCUAAUACCGCAUACGACCUACGGGUGAAAGCAGGGGAUCUUCGGACCUUGCGCGAUUGAAUGAGCCGAUGUCGGAUUAGCUAGUUGGCGGGGUAAAGGCCCACCAAGGCGACGAUCCGUAGCUGGUCUGAGAGGAUGAUCAGCCACACUGGAACUGAGACACGGUCCAGACUCCUACGGGAGGCAGCAGUGGGGAAUAUUGGACAAUGGGCGCAAGCCUGAUCCAGCCAUACCGCGUGGGUGAAGAAGGCCUUCGGGUUGUAAAGCCCUUUUGUUGGGAAAGAAAAGCAGCAGGUUAAUACCCCGCUGUUCUGACGGUACCCAAGGAAUAAGCACCGGCUAACUUCGUG